GUACAACUCGCGCUUUAUACACUAUAAAAUAAUCAAAUCAUAUUCCAUUUGUUACAUGUAAAGGGAGAAAAAUAUGACUAAAACUCUCAAAUUUAUAUGUAUUAUGAUUUUAUUUCUUUCCCUAUUCCUUGUUGCAGAAAGUUUUGCCACGGGUAUGCCAUGUAAGACUGAUAAAGAAUGUCCAAACACUUCGACUCACAAGUAUAAAUGCAUUAACGAUGACUGUUUUUGCUUUUAUAUCUAUUGGCCAUUGGGAAAUUCUUUGGUUUAGUUAUACCAGAGUGACACAAUAAAUUGCAUGAAUAUCAUAUAUUUCGAGAGUAUACUCAAGCCAUAUAGGGAUUAAUAAUGUGUUUUUACACUAAAAAAUCUAUGCAAUGUAACUUUUGCUAGAUUAUUCUACGGUUUCCAUUCAUCUACUGUGAUCAUGGAACCUAAUAAUUAUAUCUUUUAUUUAUUUAUUUUGUACUCUAUGAACCUUGCAAUUAACUAUGGCUUAUUUUUAGCAUUCUCAUUUGCUAAGAAUCUAGAAGUGGCCUCUUGGAAGAUUCAACUUAAGGAUCUUCCCUCCUCGAUCUGGACAACUUUCAUGAAAUCAAUCCCUGCUCGGAGACCUUUCUUGAUUAGAUAUGUUUUCAUUUUUUCUUA